rnacentral:rRNA from 1 species
AGACCCGAAACCCGGUGAUCUAGCCAUGGGCAGGUUGAAGGUUGGGUAACACUAACUGGAGGACCGAACCGACUAAUGUUGAAAAAUUAGCGGAUGACCUGUGGCUGGGGGUGAAAGGCCAAUCAAACCGGGAGAUAGCUGGUUCUCCCCGAAAGCUAUUUAGGUAGCGCCUCGUGAAUUCAUCUCCGGGGGUAGAGCACUGUUUCGGCUAGGGGGCCAUCCCGGCUUACCAACCCGAUGCAAACUGCGAAUACCGGAGAAUGUUAUCACGGGAGACACACGGCGGGUGCUAACGUCCGUCGUGAAGAGGGAAACAACCCAGACCGCCAGCUAAGGUCCCAAAGUCAUGGUUAAGUGGGAAACGAUGUGGGAAGGCCCAGACAGCCAGGAUGUUGGCUUAGAAGCAGCCAUCAUUUAAAGAAAGCGUAAUAGCUCACUGGUCGAGUCGGCCUGCGCGGAAGAUGUAACGGGGCUAAACCAUGCACCGAAGCUGCGGCAGCGACACUCAGGUGUUGUUGGGUAGGGGAGCGUUCUGUAAGCCUGCGAAGGUGGCCUGUGAGGGUUGCUGGAGGUAUCAGAAGUGCGAAUGCUGACAUAAGUAACGAUAAAGCGGGUGAAAAGCCCGCUCGCCGGAAGACCAAGGGUUCCUGUCCAACGUUAAUCGGGGCAGGGUGAGUCGACCCCUAAGGCGAGGCCGAAAGGCGUAGUCGAUGGGAAACGGGUUAAUAUUCCCGUACUUGGUGUUACUGCGAAGGGGGGACGGAGAAGGCUAUGUUGGCCGGGCGACGGUUGUCCCGGUUUAAGCGUGUAGGUGUGUGUUCCAGGUAAAUCCGGUUCACUUUAACACUGAGGCGUGACGACGAGGCACUACGGUGCUGAAGCAACAAAUGCCCUGCUUCCAGGAAAAGCCUCUAAGCAUCAGGUAACAUCAAAUCGUACCCCAAACCGACACAGGUGGUCAGGUAGAGAAUACCAAGGCGCUUGAGAGAACUCGGGUGAAGGAACUAGGCAAAAUGGUGCCGUAACUUCGGGAGAAGGCACGCUGACACGUAGGUGAAGUGAUUUACUCAUGGAGCUGAAGUCAGUCGAAGAUACCAGCUGGCUGCAACUGUUUAUUAAAAACACAGCACUGUGCAAACACGAAAGUGGACGUAUACGGUGUGACGCCUGCCCGGUGCCGGAAGGUUAAUUGAUGGGGU